ensembl:ncRNA F20D1.17 ncRNA
UCAGGGCUUGAGAAUUUCCGCAAAAAUAACGUUUAGGCUAUACAAACUUCCUUGGGGGGAUGAACAGAAUCACGCCUAAUUGAGACGAUGCUGCCGGCGGGGGGUUAGAAGGCAAAACGAGAAGGAGCCAGAGGUC